rnacentral:RNase_P_RNA from 2 species
GUAGGCUGAAGGCCGCGAAGCUCGCCCCGCACAGGCAUCGUCCCAAUGAUCCCUUCUACGCGAGCGGGCCAAGGUCUGAGUGACGCACCCCCGAUGGCCCCAGCUGGGCCUGGCUGUAACUGUACGCCCAGCCAAGCGACGUACCAGAAAUCCCAUGCGUCCGCCCUUGUCCGCCGUGGUCGGCGCGCCCUUGUGGCUGCACCGGCUGCCCAGCGGAGGGGCUGGCGAUGUCGACACCUGCAAGGUCGGCGGAGGCCCUGGCGGAUUGUGUGUUGAAAGGCGUCGCGGUGCCCGGGCGCGUCUGCAGCCUGCGGGCUGCAUCCUGUGUCUAUUGUCGGUUCGCUCGUCCCUUUCCCUUCCUCUGCGACAGGACCUCUUUAGCGUACGCUUAACCGCUGCGCGAGAGGGACUGCCCCUUCGGGCGCAGGCAGAGAAGCUCGCACCCCGGGUCCUUUAUGCAUACCGUUGUGGUGCAGUGUAACGCUCUGCUCGCAGGGAGGGGUUGGGCGCCAUCUUCGGAUGGUGUGAGCCGAUAGAACGCAGGGAAGGCGCGUCCUUUAGUGCAAUUCGCGGCAUGCUUGCCUCCUCACAUGCAUAACUCGAUUCAGACUACUCUCGGUCUGC